rnacentral:misc_RNA from 1 species
GUCACAGCACACACGCGGAGCGACGAAGCGAACACGAGCGCAGUGUUGAAAGCCAUGGACAGUCUCUACUUCAUUGGCAAGGCGCAGUUUCACCAGCUCGCCACACACAUCGCUCUCUACCACGAGGACAUGUCCGCUGGCUACAAGCACCUCAGCACAGAUGCCGUGAUGGCGGUGGGGCUGAAGCCGCACAAGCUCACCUACUGGAAUGUGCCCAUGAUGAGCGGAUACCUCGGCAAAACGGUGCCGCUCGACAUCCAUGGAGGGUACGUGAUGAUCGACGAGGAGAAAGUAAUGCCGAUGGCGACGAGCUACGGCAUGCUGCGCUACGCCCUCCUGACCAGUGCCGUGCGCGCCAAGGAGGGCGGGCGAUGGCGGUACGACUUUAUGACCAUGAACAGCACUCUCGCCAUCGGCACCGCUGCCGGGUUCGGUCUUUUGUCGUUCGGCUGCCAGCGCAUUCGCUGGAUGCGGCGUCACCCGAUCGGCUCUGUCGUGGCGAGCUUUGUCGCCUGCCUUACCACCACAGUCAUCGCGCGCCAGGGCAUCAAGGCCUUGGGCAUCGGCGUUGUGCAGGCACAGAAUAGUCACAAGAGGGCGCUAACUUGUCUGCACUGCGUCGACUGCCUCGAAGACGUCAAUACGUACACGCUAAAGCAGAUCGAAGAGCUGAAGGCACAGCAGAUCCCGCAGCAGGCAGGCAUGCCGCCGCCGCCGGAGGAGUAUGUGCGGCGCUUCAAGAAAAGUGUAGAGAUGCAGUGCAGGCUGCUCGAGACCGACAUGGAAGAGGUGCGCCUCAUCCGCAAGUGGGCUGGAGCGUCGCUCUGUGAUGUCCAUCAGCACCUCCGCGACGACCCGAUGGGCUACAAGGAGCCGCACGGGCUCGUGCUUCUCGCCUCCGACCGCGCACGCGCAGCUGAACGACCGCCGCUGGCAGCAAUGCCCGACGACAAGGAAAUAAGACCAGCGAAGAACUAGUGCCUGUCCUCAUGUCUGUCUGUGUGUACAUUUGUGUGUGAGGAAGAAUCGACUAGGAGGAUUGAAUGACGCGCGUGGCGUAGGCGUCUCUGCCUACGCCGCCUCCGCUGAUGAGGUGGUUGCUUCACAUACGGAAACACGCACAGAAGUACGAUCGUGACUCCCUCAUGCCCCCCCGCCAGAGGAGCAGGCCUGCAAGGGGGGCGAAGGGCUGCAGAGGUUCUUGAGCGUGCGCGCACUCGUGUAUGGGCAAGUCAGAGAUGGCAGGGAGGCAUGCUGGGACGAGUGCUCCUUGUCUGUGCACUCUCUCCUCAAAGCCGCACGUGAUCUACCGAUCUUUUUCUGCAGUCGGGUGACAGCGGAUCAUCACUGCACUUCCUCCCCCCCCCGAAAGAAAAAAAUAAUACUAUCCUUCUUGGAUGCUCUUCUCGAGGCGACUGCUGCCGCACGCGCGCAUCUGUUAUUUGUACCCACCACUAUCGCCCCCCCCAAG